UCUCCCCUCCUGCGUCACGACUUGCUCUGCUGAAAUUACCGCACCAUAACCACGUCAUCUGCCCCAAUGAGCACAUCUACGGGCCGGGGAACCAGCGCAGAAAAGGAGUAAGUUUAAUUGGUCGCCAGAUGAAACGGUCUUCUUACAUCAAAUUCAAGAAAAAAUACGUAUAAUCAGAGGGUGUUAUGGGAAGAGCAUCACCCCUGAGGAUAAGAAGAGAGCGUGGACUGAAGUGGCAGAAGCUGUAACAAGUGCCUUCCCUGGGAGUGGACCCCGUACGCAGGAUGACUGUGAGAGGCGUUGGUACAACGUACAACAAAAAUCAAAGCCUCACAUUGCCAAGUGCAAGAAUGAGCAGCGGCAGACUGAUACACACUUUAUCAGUAUUGCUAGAGACCAUCCCAGCACAUUGUUCAUUACAUGUGGAAAAGAUACCAUUAGCUGCUCCGGCAACAGCCACUGCUUCAAUAUCUGCUGGCCCUAUGACACCAGCCACUGCUUCAUCAUCUGCUGGCCCAAUGACACCUACCACUGCUUCAUCAUCUGCUGGCCCAAUGACACCAGCCACUGCUUCAUCAUCUGCUGGCCCAAUGACACCUGCCACUUCCAAACAACUAUCCCCUAUUCUUUGACAACACCCAGCUAUCACCUUCCUCAACACUAAACAUCCUCGGUCUAUCCUUAACUCAAAAUCUCAACUGGAAACUUCAUACCUCAUCUCUUACUAAAUCAGCUCCCUCGAGGCUGGGCGUUCUGUACCGUCUCCGCCAGUUCUUCUCCCCUGCACAGUUGGUGUCCACAUACAGGGGCCUUGUCCGCCCUCGUAUGGAGUAUGCAUCUCAUGUGUGGGGGGGCUCCACUCACACAGCUCUUCUGGACAGAGUGGAGGCUAAGGCUCUUCGUCUCAUCAGCUCUCCUCCUCAUACUGAUAGUCUUCUACCUCUUAAAUUCCGCCGCAAUGUUGCCUCUCUUUCUAUCUUCUAUCGAUAUUUCCACGCUGACUGCUCUUCUGAACUUGCUAACUGCAUGCCUCCCCCCCUCCCGCAGCCCCGCUGCACUCGACUUUCUACUCAUGCUCAUCCCUAUACUGUCCAAACCCCUUAUGCAAGAGUAAACCAGCAUCUUCACUCUUUCAUCCCUCACGCUGGUAAACUCUGGAACAAUCUUCCUUCAUCUGUAUUUCCUCCUGCCUACGACUUGAACUCUUUCAAGAGGAGGGUAUCAGGACACCUC